GCAUGUUUUAUAGCAUUUAUUGACUCAUCAAAUUCUAUUUUUCAAAUAUUCAUGACUCAUCCUACUUAUAGCAAUCCAAUCACUAAGGACAUUAUUGUUAGGCUCUCUUAACAAGUCCAUAAAAAGAAACAAAGAAAUUUUCAAGUAAACAAAGAAAGGCACAUCCCCUUUCUUACCAGAGGAUUCAAUAUAAAUCUUCAUUUAAAUAA
rnacentral:misc_RNA from 1 species